rnacentral:rRNA from 1 species
AGUAACGCGUAGAUAAUGUGCCCUCUUGCGGGGAUACCGUUUCGAAAGGAACGUUAAUACCGCAUAAUACGGCUUCGAGGCAUCUCGAGGCCGUCAAACUUCCGGGGCGGGAGGAGCAGUCUGCGUUCUAUCAGCUAGUUGGUAAGGUAAUGGCUUACCAAGGCUACGACGGAUAACUGGUCUGAGAGGAUGAUCAGUCACACUGGAACUGAGACACGGUCCAG